CUUGCGCCAUUACAUGCUUUUGGCGCUGGUUUAAAAGACGCUACAGAUGAGUUGUAAUGGCGGUCAACACCAUCUGAGGGUUUCUUGACAUAUUCCUUCGGCGCCAUUAAAUCGUUUCUGGCGGUCUUCAGAACAGUAGCGCCACUAAAAGGGUCCCAGCGCCCCCUUCACCUAGCGCCAGAAGCCCCCUUUCCUGCGAAACCACAAAAAUAAUUUGGUGGCUGAUGUCUUCGUGCCCCACGAUAUCCCUCCCUCUGCGUUUGUCAUUGAUGUUCGGAGCUUGUACGCCGGAAGUCGGCGGAUUUUAUCGGCAAAUCGGCACUUUAGAUCAUCGGGAAUCAGCAGAUUCCAUUGGCAUCUAUCACGUUUUUUAUUUUUUUGCAUCUCUGAUCCAUCUCCCACACUUUUUUUUCCCACUUUUCAUCUGCAUGCCUACUCAUUUGCGACUUCUGCUGCUCACAGGUGAACACCUCUUUCUCUCUAUCGUUUGCUUAUUGUCCUUCUGCUGCUCACAGGACAUGCAAUCUUCAAGUUGAAGGAGGUCAAGAGUUCAACAACCAAACUGCAUUGCUGUGUCUAAUGAGAGUCCAGCACAUCUCCUGUAUGACUUCAGAAAAUAUGUUCAAAGACAGUACGGGAAACUGCUUUAAACCAGGUACAAGAAUGUGCAACAAAAAAAUUGUAUCAUAUGGAAAUGAUCUUCCCACCAUCUUUCUUCGACAUCAUAAUACAUUUAACUGUUCAUCUUGUUGAGGAGAUGAUAUUGGGAGGACCACUUCCAUAUCGCUGGAUGUACCCAAUUGAAAGGUACUUAUCUAGACUAACAGGUUAUAAGCAUCAUCAAAGCCAAGUGGAGGGGCCUAUUGCUGAGGGUUACAUUGCAGAUAAAUGUCUUCAAUUUUAUUCUAGAUAUUUGCAUAGUGUGGAGACUAGAUUGAGUAUACCUAUAAGAAAUAAUGACGAUGUUGAAGGAGCUUUACCAAAUAUGUUUUCCCCAAGGCGUUACGUAUUUGGAGGAAGAUUAAUCACUAGUUUAGAUAACACAACAUAUCUAAAGUAAGCUAUGAACAAGACAACAUAUGCUUUAUACAUGUAAGCUGACAUUAUUGUUGUUGUG